rnacentral:misc_RNA from 1 species
UGUCGUGCAGCUGCAGCCGUGGCUAUCGGACGCACAAGCUCCACCCCUUCAUAAAACUUGAGAGCUCGAUGUUUCAAGGUUUUUCCCUCAGACAAAUUGCAUCUUGAACUGUGAGCCUAGUGCCCAUUUAGCAGCAGCUGCAAGGAGUCACAAUGGAAGCCUUGAAAAGGUUCAAGAAAAGGACGAAAGAUGCAGUUGAGGGCAACAAAGGACAACCGCAAAAGGACUCUCAAGCUGCAGGAGAACAAGAGGGUUUCAUAUGCCCGGUAUGUAUGGUGACCCUGGCUUCACCGGAGCAGCUCCAAGUGCACUGGGAGACAGUUCACAAUGCACCAGCUACUGAGCCAACUCCUGCCCCUCCUAGCCAAUCCCCUAAAGCCACCCCUGCUCCUAUAAUGGAACCAUCCAUACAGCACUCAUCAGUGAACAGGGAUGGAGAUGUGCUGGCACUCAGACAAGAACUGGAAGAUUUACGUGUUUCAUUGAAGGAGGAAAAGUGGUAUUCUGAGGAACUGAAAAAAGAAGUGGACAAACUACAGCCAGGCCAAUCGGCAGCUGGUGGAGGAGAUGUGAACAUGAAACGAGCAGAGGAAGACAGAACAAUGUUGUCGUCUGAGGUGGUUUUACUUCGUCAGCAGUUAGCGGAAUCCAUGGAGAAUGCUAAAGCUUACAAGACUGUCAAAGAUGCCAUGGAGCAGAAAGCAGCCUCAUUGGCAACUGAGAUGGUGACUUUGAAGUCUAGUCUGGAUGAGGAGAAGACGUUGCAUAACAGCUUGAAGGAAGCCAUGAAGCAAACACAGGUAGCCACAGAAAUUGAGCUUCAAGACAGAGAUUCCAGAAUGAAGGCAGUCCAGUCUCAACUACUUCAAAGGCCUGGUGCUGAUGAUGUCAUGGUGCUCAAGAAGGAACUAGUCUCCGUACAAACCUUAAUGGAUGAGUUGUCACUAGCCAAUGAAGCAGAGAUGAAUGAACUGAAACAGAAACAUGAAGAACUCAAGGCUGACUAUGACAAAUUACAAGCAUCUGUUGCUGACAGCAGUAGUGGCAAUGAAGCAGUCAAACAAGAACUAGAAGCCAAGAUGGCAGAAAACGUCGCCAUGUCCCAACAACUCAAUGAAGUACGCAGUCAUUUGCAAGAUCAAGAGUCAGCAUGUAGCAAACUGCAGCAGGAAUUGGAGUUUACUAAGCAGCAGCAACUGCAGCAGGUGACAAGUAAAGACAGUCAGCAUGCUGAGCUGCUGCAGCAACUUCAACAGUCCAAAGCUUCUCAAGCAGAGAUGGAGACUGAGAUAUCCCAGAUACAGAAGCAGUUAGCAGACAGUAGACAGAUGUCAGAGGAGCAGCAUCGACAGCUAGAGCAGCAACUCGCUACAGCUCAGCUACAGAUUGCCAAGACUGAGGGAACAGUGAAUGAGAAAGAUUCCCAAGUGACGGAUCUCCAGCUACAACUGGACAUGUUACAGCAGCAAUAUGAGCAAGAGAGUAUGAGUAACGACGAGUUGAGAUCUCAGCUACGAGAACGUCAGUCACAGAUAGAAGACCAACAACGCUCACUCACAGACAAACAGGAGAAACUUGCUGAGUUGGAGACGUCGUUGCAGAAGCAGAAAGAUGCAGCAGAGAGAUUGGAAGGAGAGAGAGCAGACUUAAUGGCCAAGAUUGAAGCUGGAGAAGGCAUAUCCACAGCAAUACAGCAACUCAGGCAGGAAAAUGAAAGCUUACAAGAUCAGCUAUCUGAGCUGCAGUUGAACAAAGAGAAAUUGACAGAGGAACAUCGAGCAGCAACUCAAGAUCUUCAUAAACAAUUACAACAGAGUAAAGCGCAAAUUGAGGGUGUGACAACACAGCAUGAGAGGGCAGAGGCAAACUUGAAGGAGACAAGAACUAAACUGACUACAACUCAAGAAAAACUGGCAAAUGCCGAGUCUGAUCUCAAAAUUAAGGGAGAAUUACUUCUUGCUAUGGAAUCCUCCAUGGCAACUCAACGAGCAGAUCUUGAGAGUCAUCUUAGAACAUCUCGGACAGGAUUGGAAGAUAAACAACAGGAAGUCAACAGGCUACAGGAACAACUGGAGAAGACUCGAUCUGAAUUAUCAAGCACCAAGGACCAGCUAGCUGACCUUGAUGUCAAACAAACAUCAAUUCAAGAACAAUUGACGUCAUCAACUCAUCAAUAUUCAUUGCUACAAAAUGAUCUACAGGCUAAGGUUAGUCAGUUAGCACUUGUUGAAGAGAACAAGAGGGAGUUAGAAGCACAGCUGAAUGGUCAGGUGCAGUCAUUACAGGCAAAGCUAACGGACAAAGAAGAUGCAUACAGUAAGAUGGCUGGAGAAUAUCAACAGACAAAAGAGCAAAAUGCUGCAAUAAUCUCUGGACUACAAGGAGAGUUGGACUCAACCAAGACGACACUGGCACAGACACAAACACAGCUACAACAACAGGUGGCCAAGCUUGAAGAGGAGAAGAAAUCUGUUGAGGAAUCACUGUCAGCAACACAGCAGAAUCUACUGCAGAAAGAGCAAGAAUCUACACAACUACAACAACAAAAGGCUGCAGUUUUGGUACAAGCUGCGGAAAAAGUAGAGAAAUUGACCGCUGAUCUGCAGACCACACAGACUGAACUCAGCCAAACUAAGACUAAUCUAGCUGCCAAGGAGCAAUCUGUUCUUGAACUGACUGAACGCCUUGAACGUCUACAGACCGAGAAAUCUGAGUUGCAGGAUCAAUUUAAUGUGGAGCAAGAUGUGGUGGUUUCUCUCAAGAAACUCAAUACUGAUCAAGAAGCAACUAUUGCUCAAAAGGUUGAGCUGUGUGGCAAGUUGGAGAAGCAGUUGGAGAGUAAAGAGAAUCAACAGAAGGAUUUACAGCAGAAGAUUGAGGUUCUGGAGCAAGAGAUUGCCAAGUCAUGUGACCAGUGUCGCAACUAUGAAUCACAAGUGGUCAAACUUCAGUCACAAGUCAGGGAUGGACAGGAGAAGUGUACAGCUCUUCAGAUGGAGCUUGAGAACCUCCACGACACUUUGACAAAGACUGAAGACUCCUUGGAGAAAGUCCGAGGGAGUGAGGCAUCUCUCAUGAGCAGCGUGGAAGGAUUACAGGAGGUCAAAAUGGUGCUGGAUGCCAGAGUGGCUGAACUAGAUGAAGAGUUGAAGGUUGAGCUUGGAAGAUUCCGGUCUUUGAAGCAGGAAGAUACUGCCAAGCAAGCCGAAAUCGGGAAGUUGAACGGAAAGAUUGGAGAGUUAGAAGAAUCUAAAUCCUCACUGAAUGCUCAGCUGUCUGAGUUGCAUACAGCAAUCCAACAUGAAAAGGAAGACAGAGCGAAGGAAGUAUCAGCCAUGCAGGAAGCUAAACAACUCCUGAUCAAACAGAAGCUGGACCUACAAUCCCAGUUGAUGGAUAGGGAGACACAGUUAGCUAAAGCCGAGGUGGAAUUCAAUGAGAGUAAAGAAGUAGCACACAAAGUACAGACAAUGUUGAGAGAUGAGUCGGCUGCAUUGCAGAAUAAAUUGGCAACUGAGGAAAAAGCUAAGGCAGAUUUACAGCGACAAACAGAAGAGUUAGAGCAACGGUCCAGCAUGCAACUCAGUGCACUGAAUGAAAACCUGGCUACUCUCAGAAGCGAUCUGUCACAAGCUGAUACCAGGAAACAAGAACUAGAGAAAGUAGUGGAUGAACUGAGAGGAGAAGUAGCUGUUCUUGAAGCAACCAUUCAGAAUAAUCAGGAUGAACGAAGAACUCUUCUGGAAAGAUGCCUUGCUAGUGAAGGUGACGUGGAGAAGCUACAGAGCAAAGUGGUCGAGCUUCGUCGGAAAUUGGAGGAUGCUCAGGCCGCAAUGCAUGAACUAGGACGAGAGAACCAGAACCUACAGAUUGUCCAAUCCAAGCAGAUGGCUCGCAAAUGGGCCGAUGAUACAGAGGUCAAGACCUGUAUGUCCUGUGAAAAGGCCUUCUCUGUCACUGUCAGAAGGCAUCACUGCCGUCAAUGUGGUAACAUCUUUUGUAAUGAGUGCUCUGCCAAAUCUGCCACAAUCGCAUCUUCAAAGAAGCCAGUCCGAGUCUGUGAUGGCUGUUACUCAGAACUGAUAUCAUAAUUUCCUUCAAGAAACCAGUCAGUGUCUUUGACAGCCGUUACUCACAGCUAAUAUCCUAGCUUCCUACAAGAAACCAGUCGGUGUCUGUGACGGCCGUUACUCAGAGCUAAGAUCCUAGCUUCCUACAAGAAACCAGCCAGUGUCUUUGACAACCGUUACUCACAGCUAAUAUCCUAGCUUCCUACAAGAAACCAGUCGGUGUCUGUGACGGCCGUUACUCAGAGUUAAGAUCCUAGCUUCCUACAAGAAACCAGUCGGUGUUUGUGAUGGCCGUUACUCACAGCUAAGAUCCUAGCUUCCUACAAGAAACCAGUCGGUGUCUGAGACAGCCGUUACUCAGAGCUAAUAUCCUAGCUUCCUACAAGAAACCAGUCAGUGUCUGUGACGGCCGUUACUCAGAGCUAAGAUCCUAGCUUCUGGCAAGAAACCAGACAGUGUCUUUGACAGCCGUUUCUCGGAGCUAAUAUCCUAGCUUCCUACAAGAAACCAGUUAGAGUCUGUGACAGCCGUUACUCAGAGCUAAGAUUCUAGCUUCUUACAAGAAACAGUGUCACUGUGACAUCUGUUUCUCGGAUCGUGCCAACUUCUUUUGCUUUGAUCAAAAUUUGAUAUGAGUAUUCACUGUGUUUCUGCAUUUUUAGGUUCUUUUUUUGUCGAAUAGACUAAAAGCAAUCAAACUGUCUCAUUACCAAUCAAUAAAAAGCAGUUCUCAUUUGUUACAUGCACAGUAAAGGUGUUGCCUUUUGAAAGAUUUCGUAGACAAUUCAGAGCAUGAAGCAUUUUUUGUAAAGAUUUUUAUACGAGUAAAGCUUCUACAUGUAUUGGAUUAAACUACAUUUAGGCAAGGCUUCUGUAGGUUGUGGCUGCUCUUGGACUGAAGCUGAGCAUAUUGUACUUUAAUCUUUGAUAAAUGAGGACUUGUUGAAAUAAUUAUAUAGACCUACAUUUUUGUUUAUUUUAUUUGGAAUGGCUGUCUCGGUAUUAAUUCUGUAAAAUCAUACAUGCCUUUAUCACAUGUAUUAUUGUACAGUAAUUGAUUAUGAAGUUUCGACAUUUCGAACAGUUGUGCUUUGUUCGUUAUCAGGAGACAACACUUUUUAGAUUAUUUCCCCUCUAUUUUGUAGCUGGACACAAUGAAGCUUGUUUUUAGUUAUAAAUGCAUGAAUAUUGAGAUUGUUUUAUAUUUCUACCCAAGAGAAAUUCGUAGUUUUAAUCAAGACACUUUGUCCUUUGAGGUGGUCAGGAAAUUCAGGUAUUACGAAGCUAAAUACUGUAUCAUUUCAUUAUGAUGUCACUUCUUUUUAUACUCAAGGUUUUAAGUUUUUAAGAUAACCAUUGUUACAUUUGGUUAUUGUAUCUAAGUUUGUGAUGACAUUUAUAAUUCUAUUGACGAUGGAAGGCACCUAGGCUGGGCAUGGGUAAUAA